rnacentral:tRNA from 2 species
GCGAGCGUGGCGGAAUUGGUAGACGCACAGGAUUUAGGAUCCUGCGCCUUGUGCAUGGGGGUUCGAGUCCCUUCGCUCGCACCA